rnacentral:pre_miRNA from 1 species
UUUGACUCUUCAUCUUAUUUGAAAUUUUUUUGCGAUUAAUAUUUUUAUUAUUAUCAGAUGAUAAAAUAUAAAUAGUACUUUAUGCGUGACUAAUUGUUUUAAAGUUUUUUUACAAAUUUUUAAAUAAGAUGAAUGAUCAAA